GGCAAGGUGGCCGAGCGGUCUAAGGCGCCACGUUAAGGAUUUUCCUUAAUUCACACUCUCCAUCGAGUUCCGUGGUCUCGAAAGGGGCGUGAGUUCGAAUCUCACCCUUGUCA